rnacentral:rRNA from 1 species
AGAGUUUGAUUCUGGCUCAGAACGAACGCUGGCGGCGUGGAUAAGACAAGCAAGUCGAACGGGAUUUUUUCCCUAGCAAUAGGGAAAAGGUCUAGUGGCGUAAGGGUGCGUAACACGUGGGCAACCUGCCGUGAAGUGGGGGAUAGCUCGCCGAAAGGCGAAUUAAUACCGCAUUCGGUCAGUGAAACAUUUUCACCAGACCAAAGCCGGGGCAACCUGGCGCUUUUCGAUGGGCCCGCGGCCUAUCAGCUAGUUGGUGAGGUAAAAGCUUACCAAGGCGAUGACGGGUAGCUGGUCUGAGAGGACGACCAGCCACACUGGAACUGAGACACGGUCCAGACACCUACGGGUGGCAGCAGUCGAGAAUUUUUCUCAAUGGGGGAAACCCUGAAGGAGCGACGCCGCGUGGAGGAUGAAGGUCUUCGGAUUGUAAACUCCUGUCAUUGGUGAACAAGGUUCGCCGGUUAACUGCCGGUCGGGCUUGAUAGUAGCCGAAGAGGAAGAGACGGCUAACUCUGUGCCAGCAGCCGCGGUAAUACAGAGGUCUCAAGCGUUGUUCGGAUUUAUUGGGCGUAAAGCGUGCGUAGGCGGCGGGGUAAGUGAGGUGUGAAAUCCCAGGGCUUAACCCUGGAACUGCACUUUAUACUGCCUUGCUCGAGGGCUGGAGAGGAGACUGGAAUUUACGGUGUAGCAGUGAAAUGCGUAGAGAUCGUAAGGAAGACCAGUGGCGAAGGCGAGUCUCUGGAAAGCUGCUGACGCUGAGGCACGAAGGCCAGGGGAGCAAACGGGAUUAGAUACCCCGGUAGUCCUGGCAGUAAACGGUGCGCGUUUGGUGUGGGAGGAUUCGACCCCUUCCGUGCCGGAGCUAACGCGUUAAACGCGCCGCCUGGGGAGUACGAUCGCAAGAUUAAAACUCAAAGAAAUUGACGGGGGCCCGCACAAGCGGUGGAGUAUGUGGCUUAAUUCGAUCCACGCGAAGAACCUUACCUGGGCUUGACAUGCAUCUCUAACCCGGUGAAAACCGGCGAGCCCCGCAAGGGGCAAUUUGCACAGGUGCUGCAUGGCUGUCGUCAGCUCGUGUCGUGAGAUGUUGGGUUAAGUCCCGCAACGAGCGCAACCCUUAUGAUCUGUUGCUAACGGUCCGCAAGGAUCGUGCACUCUGAUCAGACCGCCCUGUGAAACGGGGAGGAAGGUGGGGAUGACGUCAAGUCAGCAUGGCCCUUACGUCCAGGGCUGCACACGUACUACAAUGCCCAGCACAGAACGAGCCGAAACCGCAAGGUGGGGGAAAUCCCAAAAGCUGGGCUCAAUUCGGAUCGCAGGCUGCAACUCGCCUGCGUGAAGCCGGAAUCGCUAGUAAUGGCGCAUCAGCUACGGCGCCGUGAAUACGUUCCCGGGCCUUGUACACACCGCCCGUCACAUCAUGGGAGUCAUUUGCACCCGAAGUGCGUGCGCUAACCCAGUCUCACGAUUGGGAGGCAACGCCCUAAGGUGAAAGUGGUAACUGGGAUGAAGUCGUAACAA